rnacentral:rRNA from 1 species
GUCUUUUUGAAAUAAAUUUAAAGUCUGACCUGCCCACUGAUAUAAUUAAAGGGCCGCGGUAUUUUGACCGUGCAAAGGUAGCAUAAUCAUUAGUUUUUUAAUUGAAAGCUUGUAUGAAUGGUUGGACGAAAUAUUUACUGUCUCAUAAAAAUUUAUAUUAGAAAUUAAUUUUUUUGUUAAAAAGCAAAAAUAAUUUUAGAGGACGAGAAGACCCUAUAGAGCUUUAUAAUUUUAUUAUUUAAUUUUUUAAGAAAAUUUUGAAUUUUAUAAAAAUAAUUAUUUUGUUGGGGUGACAGUAAAAUUUAUAAAACUUUUAUUAUAUUAUUACAUUGAUUAAUGAAUAUUUGAUCCAUUAUUAAUGAUUAAAAAAUUAAGUUACCUUAGGGAUAACAGCGUAAUUUUUUUUAAGAGUUCAUAUCGACAAAAAAGAUUGCGACCUCGAUGUUGGAUUAAGAAUUAUUUUUAGGUGUAGAAGUUUAAAGUUUAGGUCUGUUCGACCUUUGAAUUCUU